UUAAAAUUGUGUACUGAAACCAAUUUGUAAUUUAACCGUUUAAUUGACUAAUUCAACACACCGUCACUCCGGAUUCUGUUGAAGUAAGAGAGGUAUGAACAUAAUUUUCACGAUUUAAAUAUCAUCGCAGCGCAAUACUAUGAAAGCCUUAAUAAUUAUUAAAAUCUUCAUUGUCUUCAUUGCAAUGUGUCCCGCUAAUAACAAUGCAACUGUUUCACAAGAUAUAUUCUACAUAACAAAUUGGGAUGGAUAUGGUUUACCUUCGCCAGUCUCUGCAAAUAAGUUGAAGGAAAUACUGGAAAAUUUAGCAAAGUUUCGCACGAUGAAAUUCUGUCCAUUUCCUGAUAUAGCACUAUGUGAUAUACCGGUUGGAGAAUACAGAUUGGCUGUGACAAAAAUUGUUAAAAAUGCUUUAGAGCAUAAUGCAACAAAUGUAAAUGCUAAAUCUGUUAAUAAUAAUACUAAUACGACUCGCAAUAGAAAUGUCUUGAAAACUUCUUAUGUAGGUGACAACGAAUUAAAAUCAAAUAAUUUGAGAAGUCAUGUUGAUGCUUUUGAAAUAACUAUUUAUAUAUGAUUCGCACUUCUAAGGCUUGAAGAGGAAUUGUAAAUUAAAUUGUUUACUUUGCUGUGC